rnacentral:lncRNA from 1 species
GUUGGGACGUUUGACAUGCAAAUGAGUCGACCCAGUAGAAGACUGAGCCAAUCUAAUCUGAGUGGAUAUAGAAAAUAGAAAGCUGAAAUUUCAGAACCUCAGACUGAGCUAACUGAUAAGUCGCAUAUAUUUGCAUUUAUUAUAGGUAUUUUUGAUAUUUUAUAGUGCUAACAUCUUCUAAAAAAAUCUAAUUUCAUAUUGUAGUAUAGUGGUGAGUAUUUCUGUC